rnacentral:rRNA from 1 species
CGUUGAUUACGCCCCUGCCUUUUGUACACACCGCCCGUCGCUACUACCGAUUGAAUGGCUAAGUGAGGCUUUCGGACUGCCUUAGGGAGGGUGGCAACACCCACCCAGAGGCGGAAAGUUAUCCAAACUUGGUCAUUUAGAGGAAGUAAAAGUCGUAACAAGG